AGGACGAACGCUGGCGGCGUGCUUAACACAUGCAAGUCGAGCGGAAAGGCCCUUUCGGGGGUACUCGAGCGGCGAACGGGUGAGUAACACGUGAGUAACCUGCCCUUCACUUUGGGAUAACCCUCGGAAACGGGGGCUAAUACCGGAUAUGACACAGGUCUGCAUGGGUUUGUGUGGAAAGAUUUUUUGGUGGGGGAUGGGCUCGCGGCCUAUCAGCUUGUUGGUGGGGUGAUGGCCUACCAAGGCGACGACGGGUA
rnacentral:rRNA from 1 species